GAUGAACGCUGGCGGCGUGCCUAAUACAUGCAAGUCGAGCGAACAGACGAGGAGCUUGCUCCUCUGACGUUAGCGGCGGACGGGUGAGUAACACGUGUAUAACCUACCUAUAAGACUGGGAUAACUUCGGGAAACCGGAGCUAAUACCGGAUAAUAUAUUUAACCGCAUGGUUCAAUAGUGAAAGACGGUUUUGCUGUCACUUAUAGAUGGAUCCUCGCCGCAUUAGCUAGUUGGUAAGGUAACGGCUUACCAAGGCAACGAUGCGUAGCCGACCUGAGAGGGUGAUCGGCCACACUGGAACUGAGACACGGUCCAGACUCCUAGGGGAGGCAGUAGUAGGGAAUCGUCCGCAAUGGGCGAAAGCUUGACGGAGCAACGCCGCGUGAGUGAUGAAGGUCUUCGGAUCGUAAAACUCUGUUAUGAGGGAAGAACAAAUGUGUAAGUAACUAUGCACGUCUUGACGGUACCUAAUCAGAAGGCCACGGCUAACUACGUG
rnacentral:rRNA from 1 species